rnacentral:rRNA from 1 species
CCUACGGGAGGCAGCAGUGGGGAAUCUUGCGCAAUGGGCGAAAGCCUGACGCAGCCAUGCCGCGUGAAUGAUGAAGGUCUUAGGAUUGUAAAAUUCUUUCACCGGGGACGAUAAUGACGGUACCCGGAGAAGAAGCCCCGGCUAACUUCGUGCCAGCAGCCGCGGUAAUACGAAGGGGGCUAGCGUUGCUCGGAAUUACUGGGCGUAAAGGGAGCGUAGGCGGAUAGUUUAGUCAGAGGUGAAAGCCCAGGGCUCAACCUUGGAAUUGCCUUUGAUACUGGCUAUCUUGAGUACGGAAGAGGUAUGUGGAACUCCGAGUGUAGAGGUGAAAUUCGUAGAUAUUCGGAAGAACACCAGUGGCGAAGGCGACAUACUGGUCCGUUACUGACGCUGAGGCUCGAAAGCGUGGGGAGCAAACAGGAUUAGAUACCCUGGUAGUCCACGCUGUAAACGAUGAGUGCUAGUUGUCGGCAUGCAUGCAUGUCGGUGACGCAGCUAACGCAUUAAGCACUCCGCCUGGGGAGUACGGUCGCAAGAUUAAAAACUCAAAAGUUAGUUAAGUUACGGACGGUUGUAGAGAGCGACGACGACGACGAGGAGGAGGAG